UACGUAGGGUGCAAGCGUUGUUCGGAAUCAUUGGGCGUAGAGCGCGUGUAGGCGGUUAAGUAAGUCAGAUGUGAAAGCCCUCGGCUCAACCGGGGAAGUGCAUCUGAAACUACUCAGCUAGAGGACGGUAGAGGAAGGUGGAAUUCCUAGUGUAGAGGUGAAAUUCGUAGAUAUUAGGAGGAAUACCGGCGGCGAAGGCGGCCUUCUGGGCCGUUCCUGACACUGAGACGCGAAAGCGUGGGGAGCAAACAGG
rnacentral:rRNA from 1 species